GAUGAACGCUGGCGGCGUGCCUAAUACAUGCAAGUCGAGCGAACAGACGAGGAGCUUGCUCCUCUGACGUUAGCGGCGGACGGGUGAGUAACACGUGGAUAACCUACCUAUAAGACUGGGAUAACUUCGGGAAACCGGAGCUAAUACCGGAUAAUAUAUUGAACCGCAUGGUUCAAUAGUGAAAGACGGUUUUGCUGUCACUUAUAGAUGGAUCCGCGCCGCAUUAGCUAGUUGGUAAGGUAACGGCUUACCAAGGCAACGAUGCGUAGCCGACCUGAGAGGGUGAUCGGCCACACUGGAACUGAGACACGGAACAGACUCCUACGGGAGGCAGCAGUAGGGAAUGUUCCGCAAUGGGCGAAAGCAUGACGGAGCAACGCCGCGUGAGUGAUGAAGGUCUUCGGAUCGUAAAAAUCUGUUAUUAGGGAAGAACAAAUGUGUAAGUAACUAUGCACGUCUUGACGGUACCUAAUCAGAAAGCCACGGCUAACUACGUG
rnacentral:rRNA from 1 species